UAUCCGAAAGGGCAGAAUCGUCGAAAGGCGAUGACGCAAAGCUACGGGUCUAAAGCCGAAAGGCCAUGAUCGCCGGGCCGCCGAA
rnacentral:ncRNA from 1 species